rnacentral:rRNA from 1 species
UACAGAGGUCUCAAGCGUUGUUCGGAAUCACUGGGCGUAAAGGGUGCGUAGGCCGCACGGUAAGUCAGAGGUGAAAUCCCGGAGCUCAACUUCGGAAUUGCCUCCGAUACUGCCGUGCUCGAGGACUGGAGAGGAGAUUGGAAUUCACAGUGGAGCAGUGAAAUGCGUAGAUAUUGUGAGGAACACUAGUGGCGAAGGCGAAUCUCUGGACAGUUCCUGACGCUGAGGCACGAAGGCCAGGGGAGCAAACGGG